rnacentral:rRNA from 1 species
CCUACGGGUGGCAGCAGUCGAGAAUCAUUCACAAUGGGGGAAACCCUGAUGGUGCGACGCCGCGUGGGGGAAUGAAGGUCUUCGGUUUGUAAACCCUUGUCAUGUGGGAGCAAAUUAAAAAGAUAGUACCACAAGAGGAAGAGACGGCUAACUCGGUGCCAGCAGCCGCGGUAAUACAGAGGUCUCAAGUGUUGUUCGGAACCACGGGGCGUAAAGCGUGCGUAGGCUGUUUCGUAAGUCGUGUGUGAAAGGCGCGGGCUCAACCCGCGGACGGCACAUGAUAUUGCGAGACUAGAGUAAUGGAGGGGGAACCGGAAUUCUCGGUGUAGCAGUGAAAUGCGUAGAUAUCGAGAGGAACACUCGUGGCGAAGGCGGGUUCCUGGACAUUAACUGACGCUGAGGCACGAAGGCCAGGGGAGCGAAAGGGAUUAGAUACCCGGGUAGUC